UUAAGCGACUAAGCGUACACGGUGGAUGCCCUGGCAGUCAGAGGCGAUGAAGGGCGUGCUAAUCUGCGAUAAGCGCCGGUAAGGUGAUAUGAACCGUUAUAACCGGCGAUACCCGAAUGGGGAAACCCAGUGUGACUCGUCACACUAUCAUUAACUGAAUCCAUAGGUUAAUGAGGCGAACCGGGGGAACUGAAACAUCUAAGUACCCCGAGGAAAAGAAAUCAACCGAGAUUCCCCCAGUAGCGGCGAGCGAACGGGGAGGAGCCCAGAGCCUGAAUCAGCAUGUGUGUUAGUGGAAGCGUCUGGAAAGGCGCGCGAUACAGGGUGACAGCCCCGUACACAAAAGCGCAUGUGCUGUGAGCUCGAUGAGUAGGGCGGGACACGUGGUAUCCUGUCUGAAUAUGGGGGGACCAUCCUCCAAGGCUAAAUACUCCUGACUGACCGAUAGUGAACCAGUACCGUGAGGGAAAGGCGAAAAGAACCCCGGCGAGGGGAGUGAAAAAGAACCUGAAACCGUGUACGUACAAGCAGUGGGAGCACCCUUUGGGGUGUGACUGCGUACCUUUUGUAUAAUGGGUCAGCGACUUAUAUUCUGUAGCAAGGUUAACCGUAUAGGGGAGCCGGAGGGAAACCGAGUCUUAAUUGGGCGUUAAGUUGCAGGGUAUAGACCCGAAACCCGGUGAUCUAGCCAUGGGCAGGUUGAAGGUUGGGUAACACUAACUGGAGGACCGAACCGACUAAUGUUGAAAAAUUAGCGGAUGACCUGUGGCUGGGGGUGAAAGGCCAAUCAAACCGGGAGAUAGCUGGUUCUCCCCGAAAGCUAUUUAGGUAGCGCCUCGUGAAUUCAUCUCCGGGGGUAGAGCACUGUUUCGGCUAGGGGGCCAUCCCGGCUUACCAACCCGAUGCAAACUGCGAAUACCGGAGAAUGUUAUCACGGGAGACACACGGCGGGUGCUAACGUCCGUCGUGAAGAGGGAAACAACCCAGACCGCCAGCUAAGGUCCCAAAGUCAUGGUUAAGUGGGAAACGAUGUGGGAAGGCCCAGACAGCCAGGAUGUUGGCUUAGAAGCAGCCAUCAUUUAAAGAAAGCGUAAUAGCUCACUGGUCGAGUCGGCCUGCGCGGAAGAUGUAACGGGGCUAAACCAUGCACCGAAGCUGCGGCAGCGAACGUAUCACUUAAAGCGAUUCAGCGGAUGACGAUUGACGGAGCGAAGCGACGUCAAAGCGUAUACAAAGUCGAGUCGGUUUAAGGAUACGUUCGUUGGGUAGGGGAGCGUUCUGUAAGCCUGCGAAGGUGGCCUGUGAGGGUUGCUGGAGGUAUCAGAAGUGCGAAUGCUGACAUAAGUAACGAUAAAGCGGGUGAAAAGCCCGCUCGCCGGAAGACCAAGGGUUCCUGUCCAACGUUAAUCGGGGCAGGGUGAGUCGACCCCUAAGGCGAGGCCGAAAGGCGUAGUCGAUGGGAAACGGGUUAAUAUUCCCGUACUUGGUGUUACUGCGAAGGGGGGACGGAGAAGGCUAUGUUGGCCGGGCGACGGUUGUCCCGGUUUAAGCGUGUAGGUGUGUGUUCCAGGUAAAUCCGGUUCACUUUAACACUGAGGCGUGACGACGAGGCACUACGGUGCUGAAGCAACAAAUGCCCUGCUUCCAGGAAAAGCCUCUAAGCAUCAGGUAACAUCAAAUCGUACCCCAAACCGACACAGGUGGUCAGGUAGAGAAUACCAAGGCGCUUGAGAGAACUCGGGUGAAGGAACUAGGCAAAAUGGUGCCGUAACUUCGGGAGAAGGCACGCUGACAUGUAGGUGAAGUGAUUUACUCACGGAGCUGAAGUCAGUCGAAGAUACCAGCUGGCUGCAACUGUUUAUUAAAAACACAGCACUGUGCAAACACGAAAGUGGACGUAUACGGUGUGACGCCUGCCCGGUGCCGGAAGGUUAAUUGAUGGGGUCAGCGCAAGCGAAGCUCCUGAUCGAAGCCCCGGUAAACGGCGGCCGUAACUAUAACGGUCCUAAGGUAGCGAAAUUCCUUGUCGGGUAAGUUCCGACCUGCACGAAUGGCGUAAUGAUGGCCAGGCUGUCUCCACCCGAGACUCAGUGAAAUUGAACUCGCUGUGAAGAUGCAGUGUACCCGCGGCAAGACGGAAAGACCCCGUGAACCUUUACUAUAGCUUGACACUGAACAUUGAGCCUUGAUGUGUAGGAUAGGUGGGAGGCUUUGAAGCGUGGACGCCAGUCUGCGUGGAGCCGACCUUGAAAUACCACCCUUUAAUGUUUGAUGUUCUAACGUGGACCCGUUACCCGGGUUGCGGACAGUGUCUGGUGGGUAGUUUGACUGGGGCGGUCUCCUCCUAAAGAGUAACGGAGGAGCACGAAGGUUGGCUAAUCCUGGUCGGACAUCAGGAGGUUAGUGCAAUGGCAUAAGCCAGCUUGACUGCGAGCGUGACGGCGCGAGCAGGUGCGAAAGCAGGUCAUAGUGAUCCGGUGGUUCUGAAUGGAAGGGCCAUCGCUCAACGGAUAAAAGGUACUCCGGGGAUAACAGGCUGAUACCGCCCAAGAGUUCAUAUCGACGGCGGUGUUUGGCACCUCGAUGUCGGCUCAUCACAUCCUGGGGCUGAAGUAGGUCCCAAGGGUAUGGCUGUUCGCCAUUUAAAGUGGUACGCGAGCUGGGUUUAGAACGUCGUGAGACAGUUCGGUCCCUAUCUGCCGUGGGCGCUGGAGAACUGAGGGGGGCUGCUCCUAGUACGAGAGGACCGGAGUGGACGCAUCACUGGUGUUCGGGUUGUCAUGCCAAUGGCACUGCCCGGUAGCUAAAUGCGGAAGAGAUAAGUGCUGAAAGCAUCUAAGCACGAAACUUGCCCCGAGAUGAGUUCUCCCUGAGACUUAAAGUCUCCUGAAGGAACGUUGAAGACGACGACGUUGAUAGGCCGGGUGUGUAAGCGCAGCGAUGCGUUGAGCUAACCGGUACUAAUGAACCGUGAGGCUUAACCUU
rnacentral:rRNA from 1 species